rnacentral:rRNA from 1 species
CUGCAGCCCGAGUGGUGAUCGAUUUUAUUGAGCCUAAAGCGUCCGUAGCCGGACUAGUAAACCCUUGGGUAAAUUGGGCAGCUUAACUGUCCGAAUUACGAGGGGACUGCUAGUCUUGGGACCGGGAGAGGUCAGAGGUACUCCAGGGGUAGGGGCUAAAUCCGAUAUGGUUUUGUGCCAGUCGGUUAGCAUUCCUGUAAUCCUUGGGGGACCACCAGUGGCGAAGGCGUCUGACUAGAACGGAUCCGACGGUAAGGGACGAAACCCUGGGGCGCGAACCGGAUUAGAUGCCCGAGUAGUC